rnacentral:misc_RNA from 1 species
GGUUGGCGGGAGCUUAUUUCGUCAGCAGCAGACGAUGGCGGUUCAACUGAGAUACGCUGCUGCCGCUUCCGUCGUGUUCGUUUUACUCUCUUACUACCAGUUCAGCUGCAAUGUCUUCGACAGUGAGAACGACUAAACAUAACUCUGGAGAUUCGUCUCAGUGUUGAAAGGCGCAGCAUUCCUAUUGUUGGCAGCAGCAUGUUUACACAUGUCGCUGCUCGGGCCAGUGUCCAAGAGCCACAAGUGGUGGUCAGUCAUCGUACAGUAUCUUUUCAUGAUGGUAUUUCGGAUAGUUGGUAAUGUCACUUGCAAGAAAUUUAACGAGAAUUCAAAAGCAAUAAAGAAGUCCCAGGAUGAGUUCCUAACAGGCAUGCUUGACAAUGCCAAGAACACUGAAUAUGGAAAAAGAUAUAACUUCUCUAGCAUCAAAAACAGAGAGGAGUUUGUGAAGAUCCACCCCCUCACCACAUACAAUCAUUAUAAGGACUACAUAGAGCGUAUCAUGAAUGGAGAGACUGAUGUGAUGAUCCCUGGUCAGCCAUUGAUGAUGGCCGUCACCUCCAGUACUAGCAGUGGACAGUCCAAAGCACUGCCCGUCGCAAAGGACUACUACACUAAUAUGAUGAUGACCCUUGUUGGCGUGUGGAUGCAGGAAUUACAGAACUUCCCUAACCAGCGUUGUCUUGGAAAGACCCUUCGAGUAUACUUUGCGCCUAAAAUCAGAUACACGGACGCUGGAAUACGCAUGGGCCCUAUCUCCACUCCACCUCCUGACUGGACGACCAAUGUAUUCCAGCAGCUAGCGACGACACCUACAGAGGCAUUUAACCAUGUUCUACCGGAAGCCGACAUGCUCUACAUUCACAUCCUGUUUGCGCUGGCCGACAAGUCACUGGUUCUCAUAGAUUGUGUGUUUGCGUCGAUGGUGUAUACAUUUGGUCAAACGAUGGAAACCCAUUGGCGAGAGUUCGUGGAAGACAUACGCGUCGGACGCAUCAAGAAAAGCCUAAACAUUCCAGAUGAUCUCCGAUGGAAGUUAAACGAGUACUUGGAACCAGACCCAGAGCGAGCUGCCGAGCUUGAGGAAGAGUUUAAGAAGGGGCCGGUUGGCAUCUUUAAGAGGGCCUGGCCUUACCUCGGUGUCAUCACCUGCAUUACCACCGGAACGUUUGCAAUCUACAUGAAGAAGCUAACAGAGAUUUACGGCAAAGGCUGUAAUUUCUACACUGCAUUCUAUGGCGCAUCGGAAGCAACAGUCGGGGUCGGUUUAUAUGAGAAGAGUAGGGACCCCCCGUUAUACGUCAUGGUGCCGGCAAGUAGUGCCUUCUUCGAGUUCAUUCCAAUCGCCGACAGUUAUGAAGAGAAUCCCAAGACGCUGUUUGCUGAUCAGGUGAAAGUCGGAGAGGUUUACGAACUAGUACUGUCCACUAGAAACGGCCUCUAUAGGUUCAGAUUUGGCGACGUUAUCAAAGUGGCAGACAAGUACAACGAGACACCUAUGCUGGAGUUCAAGUACAGAAUUGGACAGCUACUGAACGUGCGUGGGGAGAAGACGUCUGAAGAUGCAUUCAGCUAUGCACUACAACUGGCCAUGGAGCAGUGGCCGGCUGGUGUAAUUCUCAAGGACUACUGCUGCUGUGAAAGUGUCUUGGUGGACAAGCCAGAAGAUGAACAACAAUCAGGUGAGGCAAGUGAAGCACCCCACUACAUAGCGUUCGUCGAGCUAGAGGCAGAAGGAGCGAAGGACGCGAAGAUAACACAGGAACAGAAAGAAUUGGUGGAUCGUCAUCUCAGGAAUGGCAGCUACCCUUACGAAUCAUUCCGACGCAAGAAUGCCAUUGCUCCUGUUAAAGUGUAUGUCGUACCUCCUGGCACCUUCACCGCAUUUCGCAAUUACAUCGUGAACAACACCGGAGCAUCGCUGAAUCAGGUGAAGGUUCCCAGAGCUCUGCGAAGAGAAGAUUAUUACCACUUUAUGAAGGGUUGCGUCGCGGAGUAGCACAGGGUGGUCCGUUGGAUAAGCGUCGCCGAGCUGAGUCUCUGUGUGGUGAGUCUGUUGUGUGCGUGCGUGCGUCGGCGUGCGUGCGUCGCGUGUGUGUGUGUGUGUGUGUGAGGGGGGGGUGAAUAGAAUGAGAAAGAGUUAAUAAUCCUUUUCGUGACGUUGUGUAAAACAAGGAAAUGCCAGGAAGUAGAAGCCACAAUAAAUAAACGCAUAGUAAAAUAAGGGGGUUUCAAAAAGCUGUUAAAUGUAGUUGUUAGCUGUAAGGCUUUAGAUACUAGCAUGCGCAGAAGCCAGAAAAAAGUUUCUCAACAUUACUGUGAGGAUCGAUAGGGGGCGCUAUCGUAUCUGCGUGCUGCACGUCUCGGUCCAAACGCCACGACA